AUUACAGACGAACAUCCAACAUUUAGCACCCUUAACUAACACCCUUGUUAGUAAAGUUUGUACAUAAAGUCUGAGAUCAUUCCCGUGUCAUAAACUAUUUGCCUGAAUUGAGAAUACUAUAAAUUGAAAUUGGAUCUGUAACUUUAGCUGCUGCACAUAAAGAUGACCUAUCUAACAAAAUUACUUUGAACUUACCCAGGAAAAAAAGUGAAACGUUUCUUCUGGAAGGACCUCCGAGUUUUGCAAAGAAAUCACUGCAUAUAAAUAUCUGAGUGUCAAUGCUGUGUUCUUCUCACUGGGGUACUGACCAGUUUAGUCUUUUUGGGAUAGGUAGAGUCACCUUCAGAAUUGGACCUUAUUUUGCUUCCAUUUCAAGUCAGACUCACAUUUUCCAUAGACUUUUACUUUUUUUCUGCUGAAAGCUGUUUUAAUCCACCUACCCAUCUUCAUGCACUGAGAUCAAAGUUGCUUCUGUUCAGUACAUGACAUUUCACAAAUGAGAACUUGCAUCUAAAUGCUUUAAUUUGUAAAGAAAACAGCCAUUUAACUAUGGCAUGUAAUUGAAGCGUGCAGUUAUGUUUACAGCAAAUAGUAGAUUGAUGCUCUGUUGUAUAACACAAGACACUUAGUUAAGCUGUAUAAUUCAACAUAAACGAAGCUAAAAAUUAAAGUUGGUAUAACAGUUCUCCAAGUAUCCUAAAUGGGCGAUAAUGUUGUGUUGAUACAGUAGGAAGAAUUCGGAUAUUUGAUAUCUCUUGAUAUCGAGCCCAAAAAACACGCGAGAUCGCGUGACUUUUGAAUGGUAAAAUGUAAUUUAGUCCGCUUUGGCCAUGACGAUGUUUUCUCGCUGUAUAAGAACUUCUUGCUGCUUGGAAAGAGACAAUAAUAUAAAUAUACGCUUGAUAGUUCUUCCAAGCGGUGAGAUGAUCCCGUCGAAAUAAUAAUUAACUGAUUGUGAGCACAAGUGAUUGCUUUAAUUUCCAAAGGUAACCAUGCUGUAUCCUUGAACUAAUGUACCUCGCUAGAUAUGGUGAAGUUUGUUUCGUUUUUGUGCGGACAGGGAGUUAGACAAAGGUAAAGAAAGCAAGGAAAUCAUGUCUGAAUGCAGCAGUUACAGUGUAGAAAAACUGAGAGAAGAGGUUACAAAGAAGAGUUGAUGCAAAUCUCAGACAGUUUUGUGACUUGCAGAGUACAUUCCCGGAAGCCACCACUGCCACAGUCAAGUCUUUCAAACAAGACAAGAAUCAAGUAAAGAAAGUUCUGAAGAAAGGUGUUUUGAUGGACAGUGACUAGGACAUUUGUAUGUUCAGUUUCAGGUACAUGUACGUGAACUGACAUAUUUUUUUUUCACUUAAACCUGAACUGAAUUAUUUCACUUGAACACAUUUUUAUGCCAUUUGCCUUUAUAUCUGUCAUUAGUAUUAUCAACAGGGCUCUGGGUAUUUUUCUUGUCGGCAGUUCACCCCAUACCUGUCUUGGCCAAUUAAGUCAUAUUACUACAAAGCAGGGUGUUCCCGUUGCAUCAUAACAUUGUCAAAGUGGCUGUGGAACCACAAGCUGCAGGUGAGUGGUUCUGCAGUAAACUUUGACA